GGUCCUAUAACUCAGUUGGUUAGAGUAGCUGACUCAUAAUCAGCAAGUCCUUGGUUCGAGCCCAAGUGGGACCACAA
rnacentral:tRNA from 4 species